AGCAAGUGCUAACCGCUCCAUGCUGAACGUCUCUGGGAUCUACUCGGUUGAGUGCAGUCGUUCCGAAGAGCGCUUUCUUUGCAAAACUUGCACCUGCAUAUCGGUACACGCGCACCUGUGAGCAGGUUUUCUGUGCUGCAAGUAUUGACGUUCGUGGUGGCGCUCGGGCCCCAGGCAGCGUUCCAAGGCAGGACAAAGCACUGACAACAGACAAGGUUGCUUGGCUGGACAGAGUAUUCGGAACGCGUGUCUAAGCUAUUCCUCCGCUCGAGCCGGGUCCCUGGGCUUGAGAGCGUUCGUUUCGCUUUCGUGAACGCUGCACUGCCGCCGUUGUUGGUGACUGCUCUGAACCCUGUUCCAGUGUCGUUUUGCAGCGUUAGAACAGCUGUGCGCGUUCCAAAGGUCCAGCUGACGGGGGGCUCCUCUCACAGACGACUGUGAGCAGAUCAGUGCUGGUUUCAGGAAACCCAGUUGGACGCUGGGCGGUAUCCUACGAUGGGCGAGGAGUCUGCCGGGCGAACGCAAGCAGUCUCUCACGGUGUCUGAAGGGAGCGCUCGCGCCGCUUGCUAUGCGGGACGGCGCCGGCAAGCCAGCGAAACCCUCCGAACUGGGCGGCGGUAGUCGCACUCGCUGCUGGGGAUAUGUGGACAUCGGGCGUGAGCUAUGCGGCUCAACGCCCAAGGCAGGCAGAGGGAACGCGUCGACACGCAGCGCAGUGUUUGUGAUCGAAAAUGCAAGGUGCACGAGGGACUAGUCUCGCGGGCCGGAUUGCCACAUAAACAUUGAAGGAAGGUAAGCGGGAUUUCGGGUGCCAUUUUUUCACCGAAUUUUCCGGAGAAACGGAAUAGACUCUAUCGCCUUUUUUUUGUGACGCUGGCGGCGAAGCAUUGGACCAGACCUGCAGCGACUGCACGGCAGUCUGGUUUCCGGUCGGCCAGCAGCGCGCACCGCGUCCUCAUUCAGAGCAUGCGUCGGGACAGAGGCCUUCGACCAGAGAGCCGCCUGGAGCCUUGGGUGUCUAUGAGCGCGUCAUGCUUGCGCUGCGAAGGCUGCUUGGCACGCAACCCUGGAAUCCAGUGGCCAUGUACACGACGCUGCGCUCUGCAAGAGACAAGCAGCACACCUGUGAUCACCGUGCAGUCGUUCUGCAGCUUGUCGCGUACGGAUGCAAGUUAGUUAUUAUCAUUUCCGAUGAGGCACGGAGGUUUCAGAGGGCUUCCCGAGACCUCGCCAUUCGAAGCGCUGCAGUUGAUCGAGAGCGCCGAACGGACCUCGAACUGGCCGCAGGAAACGCUGCAAAUCCGAUUCGGGAAUAUCAGCUAUGUACGGGUCAAGCUCUGUGCGUGUCCACUGUUUCUUGAGACCAAAGAGCAUUGCGAGGCGCGUUUCUGGUUUCUGUGGCAAAGCAUCGGCUUCCAAGAGCUGCACGCGCAUGGAUGCACUCGGGCAUGAUGGUAGAAGUGUUGCGGGGUCAGAUAACAGCGAGCUCUGCUCUGACGAAACCAAGUGCUCAGGUGCAGGCGACGAUUUGCUAGAGUUGCGGAAGCGCUCCAGCGAUGGGAGCAUGAUUGCCACCCCAUGGAGCGACUGCAGCGCAUGCUCGGUGUCAAAAGAUGUAUCGGAUGGUAGUCGUCGCUGGAUCUGCUCCAUGAGUUCUUUCAGAUCCAUUGAGGCGUUGCGUUGUCGUCGCAGCAAACAUGGGACCAAGUCGCGAACGACAUCCGAAAUGUGCAGGUCGAGCAUAUCUGGUGUCUGUGGAUUCGGGCGGAACCAUCUGGCGAUUGCAAAGGCCGCGAGAUUUCCGUCAAUAAUGUCCAUUUCGAGGAGAGCCGUCUCCAACAACGGUCUUGAAACAUUCGUGACCGGCAAACGGUGCACGAGGAUUGUGUCAAGAAGAUGCUCUAGAAGACGCUCGCGGCCCCGGGGGUCGAGGAUCCAAUACUUGGACGAAACGGGAUCGAAGAUGAUGCCUAUCUCUGACAUGCUGGCACGCAGUUCGCUUUCGGAGGCAUGACUCAAACACAGGAGCGUUUCCCAGGAGACUCCUUCGAGAUCCAUUUCGUACACCGCGAAAGUCUUCAUGAACUUGAUUAGGGUACGAAAUCGCGGUACCAUGCGUUGGCAUUGCAAGACGCUGUGAAGCGCAGCGCGCAGGCGCAAGCAACGCGACUGCUUGGCGCCCGACGCCGACUCGCAAGGCUCAAAGACCAACAACGAGUUGGAGGUUUCUUGUCGCCAGAGCGAAAAGACCGCAUUUUUGCUGCAAAGCACAGACCGGCGCUCCUCGUCGUCCACGGUGAAACCUGUGUCCGAAGAUAUGGUAUCUGGGGCGGUUGGACCGUCACAGUUACCGCGGCCUCGGCUGGUCGCGCCCAUAUCGUGCCUCAUCCGCUCGACCAGAAACGACACCUCGUCCGGCAGCAAACCAUCGAACACGAGUCCUUCGCCCGCACUGAAAGCGCCGUGAACAAAGUUUGCGAGAGGAUCUUCCGAGUUCGCUGUAUCGCCGGGCGGUGUGUCGGUUUUCAGAAGCAUAUCGAGGCUCAGGAGCAGGUACUCAUUCUCUGCCACAUUGCCGUCAAGAAAAAGCGGGAGAGCGUUACAGCGCGCUUCGGGUAAACUGCCCAUAGUACUCGUCUGCGCUGAAGCGACAGUGAGCUGCAGCACCGCCAGAAAGCGAGUCGCGCGCGCCAAUGUAAGAUAAUUCGGAGCAGGCGUGAAGUGGCCCUGGUCGAGCCUGAUACUCCUUCAGGUGCGUGCCUCGAAGAACGGAGUUUAUAUUAGAACUUGCGGAUCGGUGCGAAGAGUCGGUUGCAAGAGCGUACACGACUCGAGCGCCACAAACGAGCGCGGCGCACCCGAGUGCCUGCACCUGCACUACCGCGACCCGCGCCAGCGAAGUUUUUAUGCUGUAGAAUUAUUGAGGAGAAUCGUAGAAGUAAGCGUGCCUGCACCCGUGAUGUUUUUGAUGCGAUAGGCUCGUUGAAGAGAGUCUGAGGCGUGCAGCUGCCCUCCGCUCACAAGAAUCGAGCGGUAUUCCACGAGCGCCUCUGUCGAUGGCGCGCGAUGUUGCCGCCCAUGCGGGCACAUCAACGACCUCAGGCUCGAUUUGGCGUGCGCGCGCGCUCGUAGCGCCAGCGGGGCGUCUAUGCGCAAUGCUAUCGACUGAAGGAACACUUUGAUGGUCUACCACUUGUACUGGAAUACUUCUCCGACUCUAUCUAUAGAUAUAUGCGGUGCUUGAUGUUCUAUGGAGUGUUGAGGGCACCAUGAACGUGCCUGGAUCCGGACGGAAUACUAUGCAAUGCAUAUUGGGCACUGAUUUUUCCAACGAGAGUUUGGAGCGUUGCAGCGCAGCGUCUGCAUCAGUAAGAGUCGCUUCCCUGGCAAGCUCGCUCGACG
rnacentral:misc_RNA from 1 species